GUUAAAUCAAGAAUGAUGGGGAUUCUACAUACAAAAUUACACUAGAUUGUUUCAUCAAGACUCUGAGAGCGAAGCUAAGAUGUUUGUUAGAAGUAUAGAGUCGGCUUGAGUUAGAAGGAUAGGCAAUGCAGCCAAAUGUGGGUGAAAUUUUUUAUUAGGAUUGCCUCCAGAAGAACCGGAUGCUCUGAAGAGAAAUAAAAUCCCUAUUGUUGUUGUUGUACUCUUUUUUGAUAAUAAAGGGUUCCUACAGGGAAAUCAAUUGAAAAGAUUUUACUAA